GUCCACGCCCUAAACGAUGAACACUCGAUGUUGGCGAUAUACAGUCAGCGUCUAAGCGAAAGCGUUAAGUGUUCCACCUGGGGAGUACGCCCGCAAGGGUGAAACUCAAAGGAAUUGACGGGGCCCGCACAAGCGGAGGAGCAUGUGGUUUAAUUCGAUGAUACGCGAGGAACCUUACCCGGGCUUGAAAGUUAGUGAAUGUGUCAGAGACGGCACAGUUCUUCGGAACACGAAACUAGGUGCUGCAUGGCUGUCGU
rnacentral:rRNA from 1 species